GAACUCGAUUUCAUAAACCUAAAACCUUAACCUAUUCUCAAUUUCCUAUAGCUAUAACCUAUAACCUAAACCUAAACCAUAACCUUAACCUAAACCUUAUCCUAAACCUAAACCUAAACCUUAACCUUAACCUUAACCUUAACCUUAACCUAAACCUAAACCUAAACCUUAACCUUAACCUUAACCUUAACCUAAACCUAAACCUAUACUUAUGAAUUCUAAUUUAUUUUAUAAAAGUUCAUUUACGACUAAGUUAUUUUCUUAAUAAGUUUAUUGCCUUAAUCUAUUAUUUAUGAAACUGCAGGAUAAAUUUCACUUAGAUUUGAGUGUUCCGCACAUCUCCUAUGCCGUCGACGACAUGAUGAAGGAGCGGUUCAAGGCUUACUGCGGUAAGUUAUACCAGUAGUACAAGCGGUCCGUGAGCCACGAGGAGCCCGCACAGUCCGCACCGCCUCACGUGACCCAUGAGGACUGGCGGAUACUCUGUGAUAGGUUUUCUUCUGAUUUUUUUCAGAAGAGGAGCAAAAUAAAUUUCGAUAACAGGAGAAAGUUAGAAGUGAACCACGUAGCUGGUUCAAAGUCAUUUGUACGACUUCAUUACGAUAUGCAAGAUUCCGUCACUGGCCAGGAGCUCGGUCCAAUAGACUUCUACAAAGGGACUCACUGUCGGCAGGCGAGUGGAUCUUGGAUACAUCCUAGAGCCAGCGAGAUUUGGGAGGAGAUGGACACCUUACGUAGUCAGCCCACUCCCGAUGGUGCUCAGCAGAGUGGCUAGAGAUCCUGAGUCAGGUGCUUGGCACCCGUUCUGGAUAUGUGUGUGGGCUUGGCCAUGGUGCCAAGCUCAUGACACCCGCUAGAGCUGCCUCCAGUCGAUCCAUCGUCGUUGGCGACAGCGUCACACGCUAAGCUGAUACCUUAGAGAGAGGGGUUCAACAGCUACGGGUUGUCGUCGAUGACAUCAGAGAUCAGCUGGACAGGUAGAGGGAGGAGCAAGAGAGGAAGAUGAUGGAGGAGCUGGCGAGGCAGAGGGAGGAACAGGAGAGGAAGAUGGAGGAUCAGCUGGCGAGGCAGAGGGAGGAGCAGGAGAGGAAGAUGGAGGAGAUGCGGGUGGAGCAUGAGCGACGGAUGAUGAAGAUGUUUCAAGAUUUCGCUGCACUCUUACCCACUGAUGCCCCACCACCUUCGCCUUCAUCUUUAUGAUUUUUUCUUUUUUAUUUAUGAUGUUAAACUUAUAUGUAUUUAUGCGUAAAUGAAUAUGAUGCGUAUAAGAUUGUUUGUGUUUGGAUGUAUGUAGUUUAUGUUUGGAUGGAUUUACUAGUUUGGGUUAGAUGGAUCUGAAUGUGAAGAUGAUGAAAUUUAACAGGUGUAUUAUGAUAUAAUAGGUGUACAUCAGGAAAAAUAUGAUACAUAACAGGUGUAUAUUAGGAUGUGAAUAUGAAUAUGAUGAUAUAACAGGUAUAUCAGGAUGAAUAUGAUGAAAUAUAUUGCAA